rnacentral:rRNA from 1 species
GGGUUGUGAGGUUAAGCGACUAAGCGUACACGGUGGAUGCCCUGGCAGUCAGAGGCGAUGAAGGACGUGCUAAUCUGCGAUAAGCGUCGGUAAGGUGAUAUGAACCGUUAUAACCGGCGAUUUCCGAAUGGGGAAACCCAGUGUGAUUCGUCACACUAUCAUUAACUGAAUCCAUAGGUUAAUGAGGCGAACCGGGGGAACUGAAACAUCUAAGUACCCCGAGGAAAAGAAAUCAACCGAGAUUCCCCCAGUAGCGGCGAGCGAACGGGGAGGAGCCCAGAGCCUGAAUCAGUGUGUGUGUUAGUGGAAGCGUCUGGAAAGGCGCGCGAUACAGGGUGACAGCCCCGUACACAAAAAUGCACAUGCUGUGAGCUCGAUGAGUAGGGCGGGACACGUGGUAUCCUGUCUGAAUAUGGGGGGACCAUCCUCCAAGGCUAAAUACUCCUGACUGACCGAUAGUGAACCAGUACCGUGAGGGAAAGGCGAAAAGAACCCCGGCGAGGGGAGUGAAAAAGAACCUGAAACCGUGUACGUACAAGCAGUGGGAGCACAGAGCAAUCUGUGUGACUGCGUACCUUUUGUAUAAUGGGUCAGCGACUUAUAUUCUGUAGCAAGGUUAACCGAAUAGGGGAGCCGAAGGGAAACCGAGUCUUAACUGGGCGUUAAGUUGCAGGGUAUAGACCCGAAACCCGGUGAUCUAGCCAUGGGCAGGUUGAAGGUUGGGUAACACUAACUGGAGGACCGAACCGACUAAUGUUGAAAAAUUAGCGGAUGACUUGUGGCUGGGGGUGAAAGGCCAAUCAAACCGGGAGAUAGCUGGUUCUCCCCGAAAGCUAUUUAGGUAGCGCCUCGUGAAUUCAUCUCCGGGGGUAGAGCACUGUUUCGGCAAGGGGGUCAUCCCGACUUACCAACCCGAUGCAAACUGCGAAUACCGGAGAAUGUUAUCACGGGAGACACACGGCGGGUGCUAACGUCCGUCGUGAAGAGGGAAACAACCCAGACCGCCAGCUAAGGUCCCAAAGUCAUGGUUAAGUGGGAAACGAUGUGGGAAGGCCCAGACAGCCAGGAUGUUGGCUUAGAAGCAGCCAUCAUUUAAAGAAAGCGUAAUAGCUCACUGGUCGAGUCGGCCUGCGCGGAAGAUGUAACGGGGCUAAACCAUGCACCGAAGCUGCGGCAGCGACGCUGAUGCGUUGUUGGGUAGGGGAGCGUUCUGUAAGCCUGUGAAGGUGUGCUGUGAGGCAUGCUGGAGGUAUCAGAAGUGCGAAUGCUGACAUAAGUAACGAUAAAGCGGGUGAAAAGCCCGCUCGCCGGAAGACCAAGGGUUCCUGUCCAACGUUAAUCGGGGCAGGGUGAGUCGACCCCUAAGGCGAGGCCGAAAGGCGUAGUCGAUGGGAAACAGGUUAAUAUUCCUGUACUUGGUGUUACUGCGAAGGGGGGACGGAGAAGGCUAUGUUGGCCGGGCGACGGUUGUCCCGGUUUAAGCGUGUAGGCUGGUUUUCCAGGCAAAUCCGGAAAACUAAGGCUGAGGCGUGAUGACGAGGCACUACGGUGCUGAAGCAACAAAUGCCCUGCUUCCAGGAAAAGCCUCUAAGCAUCAGGUAACAUCAAAUCGUACCCCAAACCGACACAGGUGGUCAGGUAGAGAAUACCAAGGCGCUUGAGAGAACUCGGGUGAAGGAACUAGGCAAAAUGGUGCCGUAACUUCGGGAGAAGGCACGCUGAUAUGUAGGUGAAGUCCCUCGCGGAUGGAGCUGAAAUCAGUCGAAGAUACCAGCUGGCUGCAACUGUUUAUUAAAAACACAGCACUGUGCAAACACGAAAGUGGACGUAUACGGUGUGACGCCUGCCCGGUGCCGGAAGGUUAAUUGAUGGGGUCAGCGCAAGCGAAGCUCUUGAUCGAAGCCCCGGUAAACGGCGGCCGUAACUAUAACGGUCCUAAGGUAGCGAAAUUCCUUGUCGGGUAAGUUCCGACCUGCACGAAUGGCGUAAUGAUGGCCAGGCUGUCUCCACCCGAGACUCAGUGAAAUUGAACUCGCUGUGAAGAUGCAGUGUACCCGCGGCAAGACGGAAAGACCCCGUGAACCUUUACUAUAGCUUGACACUGAACAUUGAGCCUUGAUGUGUAGGAUAGGUGGGAGGCUUUGAAGUGUGGACGCCAGUCUGCAUGGAGCCGACCUUGAAAUACCACCCUUUAAUGUUUGAUGUUCUAACGUUGACCCGUAAUCCGGGUUGCGGACAGUGUCUGGUGGGUAGUUUGACUGGGGCGGUCUCCUCCUAAAGAGUAACGGAGGAGCACGAAGGUUGGCUAAUCCUGGUCGGACAUCAGGAGGUUAGUGCAAUGGCAUAAGCCAGCUUGACUGCGAGCGUGACGGCGCGAGCAGGUGCGAAAGCAGGUCAUAGUGAUCCGGUGGUUCUGAAUGGAAGGGCCAUCGCUCAACGGAUAAAAGGUACUCCGGGGAUAACAGGCUGAUACCGCCCAAGAGUUCAUAUCGACGGCGGUGUUUGGCACCUCGAUGUCGGCUCAUCACAUCCUGGGGCUGAAGUAGGUCCCAAGGGUAUGGCUGUUCGCCAUUUAAAGUGGUACGCGAGCUGGGUUUAGAACGUCGUGAGACAGUUCGGUCCCUAUCUGCCGUGGGCGCUGGAGAACUGAGGGGGGCUGCUCCUAGUACGAGAGGACCGGAGUGGACGCAUCACUGGUGUUCGGGUUGUCAUGCCAAUGGCACUGCCCGGUAGCUAAAUGCGGAAGAGAUAAGUGCUGAAAGCAUCUAAGCACGAAACUUGCCCCGAGAUGAGUUCUCCCUGACUCCUUGAGAGUCCUGAAGGAACGUUGAAGACGACGACGUUGAUAGGCCGGGUGUGUAAGCGCAGCGAUGCGUUGAGCUAACCGGUACUAAUGAACCGUGAGGCUUAACCUUACAACGCCGAAGG